rnacentral:rRNA from 1 species
UACGAAGGGUGCAAACGUUGCUCGGAAUUAUUGGGCGUAAAGCGCACGUAGGCGGUAUUGCAAGUCGGAUGUGAAAUCCCUCGGCUUAACCAAGGAAGUGCACCCGAAACUGCUGUACUUGAGUACGAAAGAGGAUCGCGGAAUUCCCGGUGUAGAGGUGAAAUUCGUAGAUAUCGGGAGGAACACCAGUGGCGAAGGCGGCGAUCUGGGUCGAUACUGACGCUGAGGUGCGAAAGCGUGGGGAGCAAACAGG